GACGGGGGAUGCAAGUGUUAUCCGGAAUAAUUGGGCGUAAAGCGUCUGUAGGUGGUUUACCAAGUCUGUUGUUAAAAAUCAGGGCUUAACCCUGAUCCGGCAACAGAAACUAGUAGGCUGGAGUACGGUAGGGGCAGAGGGAAUUCUCGGUGUAGUGGUGAAAUACGUAGAUAUCGGAAAGAACACCAACGGCGAAAGCACUCUGCUGGGCCGACACUGACACUGAGAGACGAAAGCUAGGGGAGCGAAUGGG
rnacentral:rRNA from 1 species